rnacentral:rRNA from 1 species
UACGUAUGGUGCAAGCGUUAUCCGGAUUUACUGGGUGUAAAGGGAGCGCAGGCGGUGCGGCAAGUCUGAUGUGAAAGCCCGGGGCUCAACCCCGGUACUGCAUUGGAAACUGUCGUACUAGAGUGUCGGAGGGGUAAGCAGAAUUCCUAGUGUAGCGGUGAAAUGCGUAGAUAUUAGGAGGAACACCAGUGGCGAAGGCGGCUUACUGGACGAUAACUGACGCUGAGGCUCGAAAGCGUGGGGAGCAAACAGG